rnacentral:rRNA from 1 species
GGGUCAGUAGGUUGGUCGUGCCACCGGUACGUACUGGUCUCACUGAUUCCUCCUUCCUGAAGAACCGUAAUGCCAUUAAUCUGGUGUUGCGGGGAAACAGGACUGUUACUUUGAAAAAAUUAGAGUGUUUAAAGCAAGCUAAAGCUUGAAUACAUUAGCAUGGAAUAAUGAAAUAGGACGAUCGAUCCUAUUUUGUUGGUUUCUAGGCUUGACGUA